UUGCUAUAUAAACUGAAAAUUACAAUCGCAAACUUUAUUCCAAAAAAUUGUUUCAACCUGCAUUCAACAUGAAAACCACUUAUAUUUCGAUCAUAGCAAUAAUUGUCUCGUCAAUUUUGUUGGUGGCAAAUGCCCAGAGGACAUGUCCCCGUAGAAUAGAACGUGUUGCGGCCGGGUCAAGAGUUUGCCAUGUAUUCUGUGCUGCGGGUGGAAGACCACCACUGCAAAUAUGCCACACAGUUAGACGGCCAGAAAGUGUAAUUCGUUGCCCAUCGGGAUGCUGUCGCUCUGGAAAUGCAUGUCGUAGAAUUUAGAAUAUUUGAGACAUAUUCUUUUCAUAAAUAAAUUGAAUAAAGUUCAACAUUUUUUAAAAACAA